UUGAAGUAUUGCACUUUGUCAUUCGUUGUGAGAAUUUGAUCUCGUGAGUUAUCGUAAUUGUUGUAUUAAGUUACCUACCUAGUUCGUAUGCACUAGGUUACAAGGCUAAAUCAAUAAACUAAGCUCUGCCUGUGUAAAUCUGCAAUAUAUCAAGGCUUAUCUGUAAACUAAACUUUGGCCGUAUGAAUCUGCAUGAUUAUAAUAUAUCAUUUUAUUUGAAGAUCUUUCUUCUUCAAGACAUCAUUCUUUCUUUCUCUAUUAACGAGAUGUCUCUUCUUCAACACACCUUUCACAUUUUUUUUUGAAAAACAAUUUCUGCAACAAAGAAUCAGAGUUGAAGAUCCAGAUCCACGAUAACCAUAUUCAGCAUCUUGAAGAAAAUCGCACGUGAAUAUGAAUAUGAAUAUGAAGAUGAUGAUAAUGAAUAAGAUACGAAGAUGAUGAUGAAUCAGAUAUGGAUCUUGUUACUUUUUUUAAAUUCUCUUUAUGUUUUUUUUUUGAUCUAAAAUUACACAUUUUUUAAGUGUUUUUAGUUGAAUCAGGCAUUUAAGGUAUGAAUCAGGCAUUUAAGGCAUUUUUGUCUUUUUUACAGUUCAGUGGAUGAUGUGAUGGCGGUUCGAUGUUGAAGAUGACCCAAAAGAUGUUCGAUGUUUAAACAUGAUGUUCCAGAUCUAGAAGAUCCUCCAGUUUAGUGGAUGUCCGUUUAUAAGGUGGGUCGACCAACCCAUGUGCCCCCGAUUUGCUAUGAUUAUUUCGGGACUAUUGAGAACUAUUAACAGGCUACAAGUUAAGGUUAUAGCUCAUGAAGAUGAAAUUAGAAAGAAGAAAACCAUUACUUGAUUUAUGAUUUUCGUUGUUGUAACUUCCACAAUGUUUGUUUGUACUCCUGGAUUGAUUUCAAAGUUUUUAUAUUUAAUGUGUAACUUUCCUUUGGCUCAUUUUCCUUCAUGUUUUACAAAGUACAUUGGACCUUCAAAUUAU
rnacentral:lncRNA from 1 species